rnacentral:misc_RNA from 1 species
UGUGGGAGCGAGCCUGCUCGCGAUGGCGGCCUGUCAGUCACAUCUGCUUCGGAUGUGACUCCGCUAUCGCGAGCAGGCUCGCUCCCACA